GUGCUCACACUGGCAGCACAUAUACUAAGAUGGAAAGAUAGAAGAUUAGCAUGGCCCCUGAAAAAGGAUGACACGCAAAUUCGUGAAGUGUCCCAUAUUUUU
ensembl:snRNA U6 U6 spliceosomal RNA